GACGAACGCUGGCGGCGUGCUUAACACAUGCCAGUCGAACGGAAAGGCCCUGCUUUUGUGGGGUGCUCGAGUGGCGAACGGGUGAGUAACACGUGAGUAACCUGCCCUUGACUUUGGGAUAACUUCAGGAAACUGGGGCUAAUACCGGAUAGGAGCUCCUGCUGCAUGGUGGGGGGUGGAAAGUUUCGGCGGUUGGGGAUGGACUCGCGGCUUAUCAGCUUGUUGGUGGGGUAGUGGCUUACCAAGGCUUUGACGGGUAGCCGGCCUGAGAGGGUGACCGGCCACAUUGGGACUGAGAUACGGCCCAGACUGCUACGGGGGGCAGCAGUGGGGAAUAUUGCACAAUGGGCGGAAGCCUGAUGCAGCAACGCCGCGUGCGGGAUGACGGCCUUCGGGUUGUAAACCGCUUUCGCCUGUGACGAAGCGUGAGUGACGGUAAUGGGUAAAGAAGCACCGGCUAACUACGUG
rnacentral:rRNA from 1 species